rnacentral:rRNA from 1 species
UUGUGUCUACCAAAAUCGAGUGGAGCCAUGGGGUUCAAAGAUCUCCAUGCUUUUAACUUAGCAAUGUUGGUUAAACAGAGCUGGAGAAUGAUUUCCCAUCCUGGAACUUUAUGUGCCCAAGUGCUGAGAGCAAAAUAUUUUGCAGACGGGAAUAUACUCAAGGCACGACCGAAGAGAGGUUCUUCCUACACAUGGCAAAGCGUCUGGGUGGGUUUGCAAACUUUCAGGAGAGGACACGUUUAG